GUUGUGGUUAAAAAGCUCGUAGUUGGAUCUCGGCGGUCUGAGGGCGGUUCGCUUGAUUGAGUGCUACUGCUCUAUAGGCCGUGGUUUUGCCAGAGGUCUCGGGGUGCUCUUAACCGAGUGUCCUGCGAUGCUGGCAGGUUUACUUUGAGAAAAUUAGAGUGCUCAAAGCAGGCUUUUACGCCUGAAUAUUCGUGCAUGGAAUAAUAGAAUAGGAAGUCGUUUCUAUUUUGUUGGUUUUCGGAAAUCGACUUAAUGAUUAAUAGGGACAGUCGGGGGCAUUUGUAUUCAAACGACAGAGGUGAAAUUCUUGGACCGUUUGAAGACAAACUACUGCGAAAGCAUUUGCCAAGAAUGUUUUCAUUAAUCAAGAACGAAAGUUAGAGGUUCGAAGGCGAUUAGAUACCGCCCUAGUUCUAACCAUAAACGAUGCCAGCUAGCGAUCUGCCGACGUUUUCUUUGUAGACUCGGCAGGAAGCUUCCGGGAAACCAAAGCAUUUGGGUUCCAGGGGAAGUAUGGUUGCAAAGCUGAAACUUAAAGGAAUUGACGGAAGGGCACCACCAGGAGUGGAGCCUGUGGCUUAAUUUGACUCAACACGGGAAAUCUCACCAGGCCCGGACACUGGAAGGAUUGACAGAUUGAUAGCUCUUUCUUGAUUCGGUGGGUGGUGGUGCAUGG
rnacentral:rRNA from 1 species